UACGUAUGGUGCAAGCGUUAUCCGGAUCUACUGGGUGUAAAGGGAGCGCAGGCGGCACGGCAAGCCUGAUGUGAAAGCCCGCGGCCCAACCGCGGGACUGCAUUGGGAACUACCGGGCUGGAGUGCUGGAGAGGUAGGCGGAAUUCCUAGUGUAGCGGUGAAAUGCGUAGAUAUUAGGAGGAACACCAGUGGCGAAGGCGGCCUACUGGACGGUGACUGACGCUGAGGCUCGAAAGCGUGGGGAGCAAACAGG
rnacentral:rRNA from 1 species